GCGGAAGUAGUUCAGUGGUAGAACAUCACCUUGCCAAGGUGAGGGUCGCGGGUUCGAGCCCCGUCUUCCGCUCCA
rnacentral:tRNA from 4 species